rnacentral:lncRNA from 1 species
AGGUCCCUGGAGGAGCACAGACGGUUUAACCACUUUAACAAGCUGCGGUGUCCAGAGACUCUUCCAAUUCCUCUCGAGUUAUCCCGAGCUACCGAAAUCGGCGUGUGUGUUUUCGCGCUGAGUUGAUGUACCCCUUUUGGUUACAUUUCUACGAGUCGGACUAACGAGAACGGAGCCCUCCGCGUUUCUGCCGCUCUCCAUUCGCUCCUGCAGCCCCCCCCGGCCGUAGCGCUCCGUACGGACCCACCGGUCGGGCCCCGACGGCAGCGCACUGCGGGCAGCCCCGGCCGCAGCCCCUCCGCCGUUCUCUCUCCGUCCGAGGUCGUUUCUCUCUCUCUCCUUUGCAAACGUUUUCCUAAAAAUAAAACUUCCACAGAAAUGUUUUAAGACGAGGUUCGCGAGGAAACGGUUUAAUUUUCACCAUAUGUCGCCACAGAUUAAAGAAAAAAAAAAAAAAUCUUUCCGCUGAAGCUACCAAAACCAAAAAAAAAGACUUAAUCUAAGAAUGCGUUCUCCUUAAUCCGUCCUCCCCCCAACACCCUGUGGGCCAUUUUACGGGCUCCAAAUAAAUCUUUCAGGUGGCAGCGAGGCGAAGAAGCGGCGCAGUGAUGACGGAGGAGCAGCCCCUGCCCCGCGUUAAUGCCACCGACGGGUGGGUCCGCGGCAGCCGCCCACCGCCGGGACGGAGGGACCCAUCUGAAUGAAAAUCUAUUAGCCCUCCUCUCAGAGACGGGAGCCGCGGAAAUCGAUAAAGAG